AUGGCACGAUCUCGGCUCACCAUGGUCCAGGCAACUCUCCUGCCUCAGGAAGCAGAGGUUGCAGUGUGCUUAGAUCACUCCACUGCACUCCAGCCUGGUGAUGAAGCAAGACUCUGCCUCAAAAAAAAAAAAAAAAAAAAAAUCAGGGAGGGGAGAGGAGAGGAGAUAGAGAAAGCAAACCACCAUGGCAUGUAUGUACCCAUGCAACAAUCCUGCAGGAUGCAGGAUGUGCACAUGUACCCCAGAGCCCAACGUAUAAUAAUAAAAAAAAGUAUGUUUGUUAUUUUAAAUUUUCUCAUUCUUUUCUUAUAUCUUGAUGUUAAAAUCCUUAUAUAUUUAUUUUUGGCAUCUUAAACUCUUAGAUAUCUAAUUAUCCCUUUUAUUAUAUCUCCUGACUUUUAUUCAGGGUGGACCAUUUCUUUAUUUAUUUUGUAAUUUUUAUGGUGAGAUAACAUAUAGUUUCAUGCCAAGGUCUCAAUUCUAACAUUCUGCCUUAAGUAACAUCAAGACUGUCCUCUCAUUCUACCUUGGAUGUUAUAACCAAAAUUAGCAAGACCAGUCAUACACGCACGCGCGCACACACACACACACACGCACACCCCAGCUACACCCUCUGCUUUGUAUUUACUGCUUUUAUUUUCAGUUCCCUCUUCAAUUUGGGCCUCUAGGGGAUCUCCUUUUUCUUGAAAACUCAGCUAUUCAUUCUGAGUGGUUAUUAUUAUACCUUACCCAGCAUUUCUAGGUGUUUUUACGUAGAAAGUUUUAUGCAUUCUUAAUCCACCAUCUUGCUGGAACCAGAGGUCAAACCAAACUUCCUGACAUGUCACAUGUAAUAUUUUUUAACUAUUGUGAAGUCAAAAAUGGGUCAUUAAUGAGCAGAUAAAUGGCAAGGAUACAUCAGUGUAUAAGUCAUGAAAUUACAGAAAUAUCUUAGCCCUUCAAGUUGCAUAGACAUGGCUUUGAAUUUUAGCUCUGCAAAAUGUAAUACCUAUGUGGCCUUAGGUAACUAAGGAGCUUUAAAACUCAAUAUUUUCACCUACAAAAUAGACAUUUUCAUGUCUCAUGGUCACUAGUGAUGCCAAAUCUAAAGACCUGUAUUGAGAUCUAUUUGGAAUAAAAAUACUUCAAAAUCGUAUGACA
rnacentral:lncRNA from 13 species